AAGAAACUACAGGCAAGAAGACUCCAGUAAAGGCAAGGCACAUAGUCAUGAAUAAAGGAAGACUUCAACAGUAACAGCAAAAUCAAAGUUAUGUGCCCUCAUGGUGGCUCCUUUUAGGCUGGUGUCCUCACUAAGAAAUCAGACUUCCCUUGGCUGUACAGCUCCUGGGACUUGCAUGAACACUUGGCUGUUUUGGAAUGAAAUUGUUCCGUCUUCUAAACAAAUGAUCUGUGAUGCCUUGAAGGCUGCUUGGAGAGACUCCACUGCUCUUCAGCUGUCCCACUUCUACACUGUUUGUAGAGAAGUGUUGUACCCAAUUUACCUAGCUUGUAUUUUGUGGAUGGCUUUUAACUACAAGCACCUACAACACCAGCCUUUCUACUGCAGCAAUCACAAAUGGACAGAACUGGUGCAAGCCAAAUAUUGUAGCUUCGGAUGCUGA
rnacentral:lncRNA from 1 species